rnacentral:tRNA from 1 species
GCCUGGGUGGCUCAGUGAGUUAAGCGUCUGACUUCGGCUCAGGUCAUGACCUCGCGGUUGUGGGUUCGAGCCCCGCGUUGGGCU